rnacentral:rRNA from 1 species
UCCACAAUGGACGAAAGUCUGAUGGAGCAACGCCGCGUGAGUGAAGAAGGGUUUCGGCUCGUAAAACUCUGUUGUUAAAGAAGAACAUAUCUGAGAGUAACUGUUCAGGUAUUGACGGUAUUUAACCAGAAAGCCACGGCUAACUACGUGCCAGCAGCCGCGGUAAUACGUAGGUGGCAAGCGUUGUCCGGAUUUAUUGGGCGUAAAGCGAGCGCAGGCGGUUUUUUAAGUCUGAUGUGAAAGCCUUCGGCUCAACCGAAGAAGUGCAUCGGAAAC